CUAUAGGACUUGGACUGUAAUAGAACAUAUGAGUUUAAAUAUAAUUUUUGUUCAAUUUUUCGAAUCUUAUCAGAUGUAAUUGUAGCUCAGCAUGGAGUAAUUAUUGAUAAGUUUGUAGAAAUUCAUUUAAAUGAUAGAAAAUAGUAAAUAUACUAAAAAAUUAUUGAACCAUCUACAUAACAACUCCAAUGUUGUCCACUACCUGUAAAAAAUAUUAGGUAUUUAUAAUAUAAUUAUUUCGCAAGUUAUUUUGAAGGGUACCUUAAUUAGGUGAAAAUUUAAAAAAGAACAGUAAACUGGUCCGGAUCUGGACCGUUUUCUCGGUGUGCACACAAGGUACAACAUAUCGUGUCCGUCCAUCCCUAUCAACGGUUUGGAUCAAAUCCUCGUGUUAUAAAAUCACCUCCAUCCGAUACGCCACCGCAAACCCUACCUCCUCGUCCUCCCUCUCGUCUCAGAUCCACAGCCGCCGCACUAAUCCUCUCUUUGUGCCUCAGAUCCAGCCCACUGCACCUCGCUCCACCACCUCCUCGGCCUCUGGCGCCGCCUCCCCUCCUCCGCCGGCCGCAUGGGCGUGGAGGUCGAGGUGGAGGUGGAGCCCUAGCAGCACUGCAGCAGCAGCUCGCGUCGGGACGGAUAGACGAGGCGCGUGGCGGCCGGCGGCGGGCCUCUGGCCAUGUGCGGCCAUGGUGCGGGUGAGUUCGCCGGCGUCCCAAUCGUCGUCCCCAGCAAGGGAAGCAGCGCCUGAGGCCUGUUCUUCGGCCAUCUUCCCCGCAGCGAGGAUGGCACGGAGCUGCAGCGGCAGAGGUACGGCCGUCUUCCUCAACCUCAGAUCCGCGUGCAAACAUGGUGAUCCGGUUCCUCUACUGCAAGCCGAUGACGAGCAAGCAGGUCGCACACGGCCUGGGCAGUAGGUAGCCUGGUGGUCCUCCAUAUCAACAGCCAGAUGAGGCUGCUUCGCUCUAGCUCCAUCCAGGUUGUAAUUUCUAUUCCCCCUUUUUUCACCUAGCCACGACUCCCCAAACCCACCGUGCCUCCUCUCCUCUCAUCCUUGCACCUUUAAAUGAUUAUUGAACCCGCUGCCUUGUUGUCUCACACCCCACUGCUUGAUUCGUAUAACCUGAUUCAUAUGCCUGUGUUAUUAAUCCAUACUUCAGCUCUAAACCAUGAUGUGCAGAGAUAAACGAGACCAUGUUAUGUUCAAUUCAUUCGGUUACUUACCAGAUAAAGCAAUGCAGUCAAACACAGAUCUGUUGUUGUUUGCUUGAUUGUUCCACGAUGCAUGCCUGAUUAGCAUCUCUCAGAUUUGAUUAGCAUGUCUCUGAAUAUUAUCUCCUUGCCUUGGCAAAUGUAAAAAAAAACUAAUAAGUUCGAUACGCAGAACAGUUGCAGCUCGACUUCUAGCUUGGUCUGAUGGUGCUAAUAUCGACUUGGACUCACAAAGGAAAGGGAAUUGUGUUGUUCUCGAGACAUCCACGAGACAAGAUGAAAUGGUAGAAGGAACAAACAAUGAGAAGAGAUUGGAAAUUUGAAGGCAAAUGCUGGAAUAUUUGAUGUUUUUGUUUCUAGUGUUGCUUUUGAUGCAAGAUGAAUGUAACUUGCAUGUAAAUUUUGAGGUGCUUCUCAAUGUAAAUCAUACGAUAUUGUAUUUGAUUUGAUGCUGUGGUAAAUGGUCUUACAAUUUUGGUAUAUAUAUUCUGGGCUGUAAUGACUAUUCUAAUAAAAGGAUUGAAAUUAGGCCCAAUUUGGUGGCCCACUCUGAA